AUUGGGACUGUGGGUGGGCGCGUGAGGGCCGGGGAAAGGCAGGGACUCCUCGGAGGAGGUUUGGGAGGAAGCGACUCCGAGGUGCGCCAGCGCCAGCCCAAGAGCGAGGAGGAGGAAGCCGCCUCGGUAGGAGUUGGUGGGGGGGUGGGAGGGGGCGGAUAAACGCCACCGACGUGGAUGCACCACCUACUGUGCUCUCUCGCGGUUACUGUGUGGCUGGGGCGGGCACGGACCCUGGUUUCUUCGUCGGAGGUCUGCGCAGGGCUCUUGUCCUGGGAGUUCCUGGCUCAGGACUUGACUGUCGAGUGGACAGGGAAGGGCCACUCAGGGGCUUUAUUUAGGUUUACAAUGGGGAAAAGUAAACUUGUGGAUUCCGAGCGGUAACGAAAGGAGGGGGUCCUCGUGUGUACCAACCACACUUAGAUGAGAAAUGAGACGGAAGAAGUCCCAAUAGCCUGGCAAAAGUAAUACGGUAUUUUAAAAAAUGUUGUGGCGUUAAGAAACGCAGCAGUUCGGGGGAGGAGACUCUUUCAGAAUUAUCUUUCAAACACAUAAGGGAGGAGCUGGGCGGUUGGGUGGAGUGACUGAAGGAAAGCUUUUGUGCGGAAGAGGAAACUCUGGAAAGGCUUUUCUGGCUUAGUGUGUACCCCUGGCCGGCCGAGUAAAGGGCAGUUAGUGUUGAAGGUUGUGCGUCCACACCUACUUAGUGGUUAAAUAAUGCACGUCGCAUUAUUUAAAUCAUCUUUUAAAGUAAAAUAACUGGAACAACGUUUGAUGGUGUUGGGGGUGCUGUACAUUGGCUGACACACUCAGCAAACACUGAUCUUACUCUGUUAAGUAAUAAUUAGCUGUGGCCACUGAGCAGAGAGCAUUUACAUUUUCUUGAAGUGAAUGUGUGCCUUUACUAAGUACAAGGAGGAGUUAUUUCUAGAGAAGGAAAGAGGCUGAAGUAGCCAAAACGCCCACUCUUUUCUAUGUGGGUGAAUUUUUAUAUCUAGAAACAGCUGUUUUAGAAUUCUGGACUUUUGUUGUCUUAGGGAUGAUUGAUUAGGAAGGGACUUUAACCCUGGUUUUAAUAACCAUUUUUAAAGAUACAAACGCAGAAAAAAAGGAAAAAAAUUGCAGCAGAGUUCACACAGAAAAAA